rnacentral:rRNA from 1 species
CCUACGGGAGGCUGCAGUGGGGAAUAUUGGGCAAUGGACGCAAGUCUGACCCAGCAACGCCGCGUGAAGGAAGAAGGCUCUCGGGUUGUUAACUUCCUUUAAUGGGGAAGAGCAGAAGACGGUACCUCUUGAAUAAGCUAUGGCUAACUACGAGCCAGCAGCUGCGGUAAUACGGAGGUGGCAAGUGUUGUCCGGAUUUACUGGGUGUAAAGGGCGUGCAGCCGGGUAGAUAAGUCAGAUGUGAAAGCUGCAGGCUCAACCUGCGAACUGCAUUUGAUACUGGUAGCCUUGAGUAUCGGAGAGGUCGGCGGAAUUCGUGGUGUAGCGGUGAAAUGCGUAGAUAUUAGGAAGAACACCGAUGGCGAAGGCAGAUGACUGGACGACAACUGACGGUGAGGCGCGAAAGCGUGGGGAGCAAACAGGAUUAGAUACCAUUGUAGUC